AUUGAACGCUGGCGGCAGGCUGAACACAUGAAAGUCGAGCGAGCGGCGGACGGGUGAGUAAGGUCUGGGAAAAUGCCAGAUGGAGGGGGAUAACUACUGGAAACGGUAGCUACUCCCGCAUAACAUCAGAUGGGCCCAGAUGGGAUUAGCUAGUAGGGGGGGUAAUGGCUCACCUAGGCGACGCUCCCUAGCUGGGCUGAGAGGAGGACCAGCCACAGUGGAACUGAUACACGGUCCAGACUCCUACGGUAGGCAGCAGUGGGGAAUAUUGCACAAUGGGCGCAAGCCUGAUGCAGCCAUGCCGCGUGUGUGAAGAAGGCCUUCGGGUUGUAAAGCACUUUCAGCGAGGAGGCGUUACUCGCAGAAGAAGCACCGGCUAACUCCGUGCCAGCAGCCGCGGUAAUAC
rnacentral:rRNA from 1 species